rnacentral:rRNA from 1 species
GAUGAACGCUAGCUACAGGCUUAACACAUGCAAGUCGAGGGGAAACGGCAUUUAGUGCUUGCACUGAAUGGACGUCGACCGGCGCACGGGUGAGUAACGCGUAUCCAACCUUCCCAUUACUGUGGGAUAACCUGCCGAAAGGCAGACUAAUACCUCAUAGUCUUCGAUGACGGCAUCAGAUUUGAAGUAAAGAUUUAUCGGUAAUGGAUGGGGAUGCGUCUGAUUAGCUUGUUGGCGGGGUAACGGCCCACCAAGGCUACGAUCAGUAGGGGUUCUGAGAGGAAGGUCCCCCACAUUGGAACUGAGACACGGUCCAAACUCCUACGGGAGGCAGCAGUGAGGAAUAUUGGUCAAUGGACGUAAGUCUGAACCAGCCAAGUAGCGUGCAGGAUGACGGCCCUAUGGGUUGUAAACUGCUUUUGUAUGGGAAUAAAGUCAAUCACGUGUGAUUGUUUGCAGGUACCAUACGAAUAAGGACCGGCUAAUUCCGUGCCAGCAGCCGCGGUAAUACGGAAGGUUCGGGCGUUAUCCGGAUUUAUUGGGUUUAAAGGGAGCGUAGGCCGGAGAUUAAGUGUGUUGUGAAAUGUAGACGCUCAACGUCUGACUUGCAGCGCAUACUGGUUUCCUUGAGUACGCACAGCGUUGGCGGAAUUCGUCGUGUAGCGGUGAAAUGCUUAGAUAUGACGAAGAACUCCGAUUGCGAAGGCAGCUGACGGGAGCGCAACUGACGCUGAAGCUCGAAGGUGCGGGUAUCGAACAGG